rnacentral:lncRNA from 1 species
AUGGAGUCCUGGUCCAUGACUUGGGUUUCCAUGUGUAACUGCAGUAAUUGUCUUCUCCGUGCUGUCCUAUCAAUGGGCCUGCCCUUGCCUGCAGGAACCAGUGCUGCAGGUGAGGGGGGAGUGGAGUCUCUGCAUACAUUUAAUCAGGGGCCCUUAUUCAUUAUGACACUAGGGAAACUGGCAGGGUCGUUAAGUGAAGGAGAAACUGGGAAGGAAUCAUGCUUUAUGUCCAGCGAGCUCUGCUUUUCUGUUGGCUGCCCAGAUCUUCAAGUCUUUUUAGAUUAUAAGUUCUUUGGAGCAAGGGCUGUGUGCACACGCGCACACACACACACACAAACAUUGCCUAGAACUGUGGGGUUCCAGUCAGGAAUGCAAAUAAUAAAACUAUGAACUGGACUAUCUGAGCUUAUUUCCAAGGGCUCAUCAGUCUAUCAGAUGUACUUUUUUUUUUUUUUUUCCCUUACAACUACUACUAACCUGGGCUAGAUUUAAAGCAAUGAUGUAGAGAUGAGAUGAGCGCCUAGUCAGGAAGCCAUCCAGUCCUUUUUAUGACACACUUGCCUUCUAGGGCUCGGGCUUUUGGGCAGAAAAGAGUGAUGACUAAGUUCACUUAAAGAUGAAUCACACAGGUUUUAUUUUUGUUUUUUAAAUUGGGUUUGUAUUGCCUCUUGGUCUUCUUGCUUCUAUAUAUUAUACAGGAAAGGCCUGACAGGUGGGCUGGGAGGGCAGUUGGAGUGGCUUGUUUUUAAAUUAUUGCUGGGGGGGUUUUGUGUGGUUUUCUAGGUGUAUAUGGGGAAGCUGUAGCAGCAUAACCAAUAUGUGAAUUUAAACCAGUGCAAACUCCUCUGUGGCCAUGCUUAUUUUGGUGUACGAGUGGCUCCUUUUGAUUUUUAGCAAAAGUCUGUUGGGAACGGAGUUAAGUUUAAAGUGCAAUAAGCCACUCUCAAACCAAACUAAGUGAACAUGUAGAGGUUUGCAUUGGCUUAACUACACCGGUUAAAAAUGUUUAAACUGGUGCAACUUUCCCCUGUAGACUAGCCCUUAAAUAUCAGGAAUAUCUCAUCUGGUUCCCCUGGUUUUGAGGAAAAACAUCUUGGAUGGAUAUUGUGAGCUCCCUACCUCUUUCAUGACCAGGAAUAGGGUUGUUCAAUCUUUAACAUUUGAUCAACACUUUGGAGAAAACGUAAGAGUUAAACAGGCUUAAAUAAAAAAGCGAACUCCAAUCA